GAGUGAAGCGGCAACAGCUCAAAUUUGAAAUCUGGCUCCCCCCUGGGGGGCCCGAGUUGUAAUUUGGAGAGGAUGCUUUGGGCGCGGCGCCUUCCGAGUUCCUUGGAACAGGACGCCAGAGAGGGUGAGAGCCCCGUACGGUCGGACGCCUAGCCCGUGCAAAGCUCCUUCGACGAGUCGAGUAGUUUGGGAAUGCUGCUCAAAAUGGGAGGUAAAUUUCUUCUAAAGCUAAAUACCGGCCAGAGACCGAUAGCGCACAAGUAGAGUGAUCGAAAGAUGAAAAGCACUUUGAAAAGAGGGUUAAACAGCACGUGAAAUUGUUGAAAGGGAAGCGCCUGUGGCCAGACGUGCGCCCCGCGGACCACCCGUCGCUCUGCGGCGGGGCACGCCGCGGCGGCGCAGGCCAGCAUCGGCUCUCCCAGGGGGACAAAGGCCGCGGGAACGUAGCUCCUUCGGGAGUGUUAUAGCCCGCGGCGCCAUGCCUCUGGGGGGGCCGAGGACCGCGCCUUCGGGCAAGGAUGCUGGCGUAAUGGCCACCAGCGACCCGUCUUGAAACACGGACCAAGGAGUCAAGCAUUGGGGCGAGUGUUUGGGUGACAAACCCGCACGCGAAAUGAAAGUGAACGCAGGUGGGAGCCUCCGGGCGCACCACCGACCGAUCCUGAAGUUUUCGGAUGGAUUUGAGUAGGAGCCUUGCCGCU
rnacentral:rRNA from 1 species